rnacentral:rRNA from 1 species
UUGCCCUAGUAACGGCGAGUGAAGCGGCAACAGCUCAAAUUUGAAAUCUGGCCUCACGGUCCGAAUUGUAAUUUGUAGAGGAUGUUUCUGGCGACGUGUCUUCCGAGUUCCCUGGAACGGGACGCCAUAGAGGGUGAGAGCCCCGUCCGGUCGUACACCUAGCCUCUGUGAAACUCCUUCGACGAGUCGAGUAGUUUGGGAAUGCUGCUCUAAAUGGGAGGUAUACGUCUUCUAAAGCUAAAUACCGGCCAGAGACCGAUAGCGCACAAGUAGAGUGAUCGAAAGAUGAAAAGCACUUUGAAAAGAGGGUUAAAUAGUACGUGAAAUUGCUGAAAGGGAAGCGCUUAUGACCAGACUUGGGCUCGGUGAAUCAUCCGGCGUUCUCGCCGGUGCACUUUGCCGUCCCAGGCCAGCAUCAGUUCGCGCCGGGGGAUAAAGGUUUCGGGAAUGUAGCUCCCUCGGGAGUGUUAUAGCCCGUUGCGUAAUACCCUGGCGUGGACUGAGGUCCGCGCUCUGCAAGGAUGCUGGCGUAAUGGUCAUCAGUGACCCGUCUUGAAACACGGACCAAGGAGUCGUCUUCGUAUGCGAGUGUUCGGGUGUCAAACCCCUACGCGUAAUGAAAGUGAACGUAGGAGAGAGCUUCGGCGCAUCUCCGACCGAUCCUGAUGUUCUCGGAUGGAUUUGAGUAAGAGCAUACGGGGCCGGACCCGAAAGAAGGUGAACUAUGCCUGUAUAGGGUGAAGCCAGAGGAAACUCUGGUGGAGGCUCGCAGCGGUUCUGACGUGCAAAUCGAUCGUCAAAUAUGGGCAUGGGGGCGAAAGACUAAUCGAACCUUCUAGUAGCUGGUUUCCGCCGAAG